AGUGAACGCUGGCGGUAGACCUAACACAUGCAAGUCGAACGGCAGCACAGUAAGAGCUUGCUCUUACGGGUGGCGAGUGGCGGACGGGUGAGGAAUACAUCGGAAUCUACUUUUUCGUGGGGGGUAACGUAGGGAAACUUACGCUAAUACCGCAUACGACCUACGGGUGAAAGCAGGGGAUCUUCGGACCUUGCGCGAUUGAAUGAGCCGAUGUCGGAUUAGCUAGUUGGCGGGGUAAAGGCCCACCAAGGCGACGAUCCGUAGCUGGUCUGAGAGGAUGAUCAGCCACACUGGAACUGAGACACGGUCCAGACUCCUACGGGAGGCAGCAGUGGGGAAUAUUGGACAAUGGGCGCAAGCCUGAUCCAGCCAUACCGCGUGGGUGAAGAAGGCCUUCGGGUUGUAAAGCCCUUUUGUUGGGAAAGAAAAGCAGCAGGUUAAUACCCCGCUGUUCUGACGGUACCCAAAGAAUAAGCACCGGCUAACUUCGUG
rnacentral:rRNA from 1 species